rnacentral:rRNA from 1 species
AACGAACGCUGGCGGCAUGCCUAACACAUGCAAGUCGAACGAAGUCUUCGGACUUAGUGGCGCACGGGUGCGUAACGCGUGGGAAUCUGCCCUUGGGUACGGAAUAACUCGGAGAAAUUUGUGCUAAUACCGUAUAAUGUCUUCGGACCAAAGAUUUAUCGCCCAAGGAUGAGCCCGCGUAAGAUUAGCUAGUUGGUGGGGUAAAAGCCUACCAAGGCGACGAUCUUUAGCUGGUCUGAGAGGAUGAUCAGCCACACUGGGACUGAGACACGGCCCAGACUCCUACGGGAGGCAGCAGUGGGGAAUAUUGGACAAUGGGCGAAAGCCUGAUCCAGCAAUGCCGCGUGAGUGAUGAAGGCCCUAGGGUUGUAAAGCUCUUUUACCAGGGAUGAUAAUGACAGUACCUGGAGAAUAAGCUCCGGCUAACUCCGUG